AGAGGCGUUGAUACUUUUGUAAACGCUUUAGGCGAUCCUGCUGCGCUGCCAAGCCUAAGCGAUUUGGGGACGCGUGUAAGGAGAGGCCAAGACUGACCACCGCUGUCCUGGUCAGGGGCCCCCAGCACAGCUGCGCCUGAGAACUCAGCACUCUCAGCCCUGCAGUGGACAGCAGCCGCUGCUCCUGCGCUUUCCCAAGCCUCGUCCUUGGGCAGCCAGGACCGCUUCAGCUCUCUCAAGCCUUGCUCUUGGCAGGAAGCCUCCAGCCUCUCGCAGAACUCCCCCGCCCCCAUGACCCUCCAAAAGACCCCAUCGCUUAUGCAGAGCUGGUCUGGUGUCAGUGCCACAGGGGCCCACUCAGGCCAGCAGGACUUGGGAUUCUGCUACUUGCCGGAGCGACAGGAAACAAAACACUGUCAAGUGCCUCCAGGCUCCUGCUUCCCCUCUCGUAAGAAGAAUCCCGACUAAGUCCCAGAGUUCUGAUCUGAGGCUGCGGCCUGCGCGGAGAGCCACGGCGCCUGCGGACCGCGCCCCGCACCCAGCAGACUCAGGAAUGUCCUCUGCCCCACGGUUUUGGCUUUCUUAGAAACUGCUCUUGGUUAACAUCAUCUAU